rnacentral:rRNA from 1 species
AUAUUGGUCAAUGGGCGAGAGCCUGAACCAGCCAAGUCGCGUGAAGGAUGACUGUCUUAUGGAUUGUAAACUUCUUUUAUACGGGAAUAACAAGAGUCACGUGUGACUCCCUGCAUGUACCGUAUGAAUAAGCAUCGGCUAACUCCGUGCCAGCAGCCGCGGUAAUACGGAGGAUGCGAGCGUUAUCCGGAUUUAUUGGGUUUAAAGGGUGCGUAGGCGGCCUGUUAAGUCAGCGGUGAAAUCUAGGAGCUUAACUCCUAAAUUGCCAUUGAUACUGGCGGGCUUGAGUGUAGAUGAGGUAGGCGGAAUGCGUGGUGUAGCGGUGGAAUGCAUAGAUAUCACGCAGAACUCCGAUUGCGAAGGCAGCUUACUAAGGUACAACUGACGCUGAAGCACGAAAGCGUGGGUAUCAAACAGGAUUAGAUACCCUGGUAGUCCACGCAGUAAACGAUGAUAACUGGGCGUAUGCGAUAUACAGUAUGCUCCUAAGCGAAAGCGUUAAGUUAUCCACCUGGGGAGUACGCCGGCAACGGUGAAACUCAAAGGAAUUGACGGGGGCCCGCACAAGCGGAGGAACAUGUGGUUUAAUUCGAUGAUACGCGAGGAACCUUACCCGGGCUUGAAUUGCAGAGGAAGGAUUUAGAGAUAAUGACGCCCUUCGGGGUCUCUGUGAAGGUGCUGCAUGGUUGUCGUCAGCUCGUGCCGUGAGGUGUCGGCUUAAGUGCCAUAACGAGCGCAACCCCUGUCUACGGUUGCCAUCAGGUAAUGCUGGGAACUCCGUAGAGACUGCCGUCGUAAGGCGUGAGGAAGGUGGGGAUGACGUCAAAUCAGCACGGCCCUUACAUCCGGGGCGACACACGUGUUACAAUGGUAAGGACAAAGGGCAGCUACCUGGCGACAGGAUGCGAAUCUCCAAACCUUAUCACAGUUCGGAUCGGAGUCUGCAACUCGACUCCGUGAAGCUGGAUUCGCUAGUAAUCGCGCAUCAGCCAUGGCGCGGUGAAUACGUUCCCGGGCCUUGUACACACCGCCCGUCAAGCCAUGG